rnacentral:rRNA from 1 species
AGAGUUUGACCUGGCUCAGGAUGAACUCUGGCGGCGUGCGUAACACAUGCAAGUCGAACGAAGCAGAAGGAUGCUUGCAUCUUUUUGACUGAGUGGCGGACGGGUGAGUAACGUGUGGAGAACCUACCUUACACAGGGGGAUAACGGCUGGAAACGGCUGCUAAUACCGCAUAAGCCUGCUGCUUCGCAUGAAACAGUAUGAAAAAACACAUCGGUGCAAGAUGGCUCCGCAUCUGAUUAGCUAGUUGGUGAGGUAACGGCUCACCAAGACAACGAUCAGUAGCCGGCCUGAGAGAGCGAACGGCCACAUUGGGACUGAGACACGGCCCAGACUCCCACGGGAGGCAGCAGUGGGGAAUCUUGCACAAUGGGGGAAACCCUGAUGCAGCAACGCCGCGUGAGCGAAGAAGUAUUUCGGUACGUAAAGCUCUAUCAGCAGGGAAUAAAAAAGCAGGUACCUGACUAAGAAGCCCCGGCUAAUUACUUCCCAGCAGCCCCGGUAAUAGGUAGGGGGCAAGCGUUAUCCGGUUUUAUUGGGUGUAAAGGGAGGGUAGACGGCUGUUUAAUGUCAGAAGUGAAAGCCCAUCGCCUUACCCCGGGGAUUCCUUUUGAACUUCCGUACUUGAAGUCCGGAAAAGUAAAGGGAAUUUCUUAUGUGUACGGGUGAAUUGGUUAAUAUUUAGAAGAACCCCCGUGUGGGGAAGGGGGUUUCUGGACGGUUAAUUCACGUUAAGCUUGGAAAGUGUGGGAACCAACAAGGAUGGUAUCCCUGGGUUGUCCCGCCGGUAAAGGCCCAUAAAGGGGCGGGGGCUCAGAAGAGCUUCUGUGCCGUAGCUAACGCAAUAAGUAUUCCACCUGGGGAGUACGUUCGCAAGAAUGAAACUCAAAGGAAUUGACGGGGACCCGCACAAGCGGUGGAGCAUGUGGUUUAAUUCGAAGCAACGCGAAGAACCUUACCAGCUCUUGACAUCCCUCUGACAGCCCGGGAAAAGAGUGUUUCUUUCGGGACAGCAGAGACAGGUGGUGCAUGGUUGUCGUCAGCUCGUGUCGUGAGAUGUUGGGUUAAGUCCCGCAACGAGCGCAACCCCUACUUUCAGUAGCCAGCAACAGAGAUGGGCACUCUGUUAAGACUGCCGGGGAUAACCCGGAGGAAGGCGGGGACGACGUCAAAUCAUCAUGCCCCUUAUGAACUGGGCUACACACGUGCUACAAUGGCGCCAACAAAGGGAGGCGAACCCGUGAGGGGGAGCAAAUCUCAGAAAAUCCGUCCCAGUUCGGAUUGCAGCCUGCAACCCGACUACAUGAAGCUGGAAUCGCUAGUAAUCGCAAAUCAGCAUGUUGCGGUGAAUACGUUCCCGGGUCUUGCACUCACAGGCCGUCA